rnacentral:rRNA from 1 species
CCUACGGGACGCAGCAGUGGGGAAUAUUGGGCAAUGGGCGCAAGCCUGACCCAGCAACGCCGCGUGAAGGAAGAAGGCUUUCGGGUUGUAAACUUCUUUUAAGAGGGAAGAGCAGAAGACGGUACCUCUUGAAUAAGCCACGGCUAACUACGUGCCAGCAGCCGCGGUAAUACGUAGGUGGCAAGCGUUGUCCGGAUUUACUGGGUGUAAAGGGCGUGCAGCCGGGAGUGCAAGUCAGAUGUGAAAUCCCGCGGCUCAACCGCGGAACUGCAUUUGAAACUGGCAAACUGGAGUGUGUGAGAGGA